rnacentral:tRNA from 1 species
GGGGGCGUAGCUCAAUGGAUUUAGAGCAGUUCACUACGAAUGAACAGGUUAAAGGUUCGAGUCCUUUCGUCCCCUCCA